AGUACCAUUGGAAGUAUCAUCACAACUGGUCCAGCCAACAUCACUCUCGCCACCGCCGGCAACCACUACUACGUCUGCACCAUUGGCAGCCACUGCACCUCCGGCCAGAAGCUAGCCAUCUCAGUAUCAGCCACUCCCGGCGCCUCCCCUCCUUCUUCAUCUACUGCAACCCCACCACCAACCACACAGGGUGGUGAUUCUUCAUCAUCAACUGUUUUUGCUAGUGUGUUUGUCUCCUUGGUGUCUCUUGUCAUCAGUUUCUUUCUUUAGGUAGCAGAGAAGAUUCAUAUUGGACGACAUUUUUUUGUGGGGUGUUCUUCAAUAAGUUUGAGAUUGAUUUUUAUGUUGUUGAGUUUUGUGUGACAACAUUUAUGUAUUGUUUUUUAGCAUAUGAUCAAUAAAAUUAUGCUGGUUUAGCUUAAUUUCGUUGUACUUUCUAUUGUUACACUUCCAUUUUCUCAUCAAUGACUUGGACAACCUUAAAAUUAAGGAGAUGAAGUCUUUCUUUCAGCUAUAUAGAAAGAGAUUUACUAAGAAAUAAAUAAAUAAAAGAACUUAAACUUAAGUCUUUCUUUUCUUUUCAAAUUAAAGAUAAUCAUUUUAAGGUUAAGGGAAGGAGUCCAAAGAAGGAUAUUGUAAAGGGGAUAACCAAGUUAAGCACAUAAGUCUUAGAUAAAAAGAACUAGACAAAAUAGAUCUUAAGAGUACAAAAGGGGAUGCUAAACAAGGAUGUAUGCAUAUGUAUAAGAGGAUAAAGUGAGAAAACUAGGAGAUUACCUACCUUGUGCCAUUUUUCUAAAUUCUAGAAAAUGGAUCACUUGAGUAGCUUAUGUAAUGAGAGAAUUAUAUUGAGUUACUUUGCCUUCAUGAAUUGCAUUAAAAAAUAUUUUAUUCUCUUAUUCUUUUUCUAUGGAUUAGCACAGUGUAGGUUAAAGGGGGUGAUUGGAUCCUAAAUAUGUGCUUUUAAGGCUCAUAGUGACAUAAUUUAUAUGGACUUAAAGCUCAAAUCAUUCAACUUAACUCAAAUGAGAGGUUUAAGCCUGUGAGGGUGACAAACCAAAAGUAAUAGAACCAAGACACAAGCAAGAGAGAGAAGCAAAGCACCUUUUUGGAGGAGAUGAAGAGUCAUCUAAUCAAGUUAAGACAUAAGAUGUUAAGACAAACUAAGGAAGGGAGAAUUGAUACAAAAUUUACCUUGGAAGAUGAAAGGAGUACUUUACUAUUUCUCAUAUACAACUAUAUUUUUUGAAUUUUGUUACUAGGUAAAUAACUUAUAAAUUAAGUAAGAGAUAAUUAGUAAUUUAAAUUAUUUAAUAAAUCUUUUAAUUUUUAAAAAUAAUUUGGAAUUCAAAAAACUAAUCCAAUUAAUUGCCCAUCAAAUCAAACCAUUCUAGAAUAUUUUAUUCAAAAUUGAGUACUAAAUGUGUGCCUGUAAUAAAAAAAUUUGUCUCAUUUAUAUGUUAAAAAAUUGUUAAACUUGGUUCAUUAUUCAUUUUAAAUAAAAUGUUAUUAACAAUUAUUAUUUUUAAGUUAUUAUUAUUCAUUAUAAAAGGAAAUUAAGAAUAUGUUAUUAUCCUUAUGUUUCUAACAUAUACUAGUAUAUUUUUAUUAAAAAAAUACAAUUUAUGAUUUUAUUAAUUAUAAUAUUAUUAUUUAUGUUUUAGUAAAAUCUAUUUAUUUUAAUUUAUUAAUUUGUAAUUGCAAAACUAUUUUCAUUUUUAAUGAGACUUGCAUUAAAUUUAACUAAUAUUAUAUAGAUUGGAUUUACAAUACUUUUACAAAAGCAAAACAAAAAAUUAUUUUUAAAAUAAGUUUUUAGUUUUUUAUUUUUAAAAACUAUUGUUGAAAACAACUUUUCAAACACCCUUAUUUUUAUAAAACAUCAAAAUCUGUUUUUGUUUCUUCAACUUAAAAAUAUAUUUUAAAAACAAGUAUUAAAAAACAUGGCCCUAAAUGAUUUUUGAAACCAACUUUUAUUUAUAGUAAUUGAUUUUUUAAACAAGUAUUAAAAAACAUGCAUGGCUAAACAUGGCUAAUCACUCGUUAUGAACGAGAUGCCUUUUACUGUUUAGCAUUAAAAUAAUAUCUUAUAUACAUAUAUUUUUAUAAAUUAAGAAACUACUUUCUAGCAAGUCAUUUUGAACUCCAAAUUAAAUCAAAACCUAAUUAUAAAUCACCAAAUAGUAACUGGUGUAUGAUUUGCCUCUAGCUACUUCUACAUUUGUCUUUCAAAUCAUUUGAAGCCUGUCCUAUCGCCAUGGACUUGGCCCUUGGAGGCCUACGUCAGCCAAGUCAAGAUCAAUUGAGUGGUUUGCGUGGAAGCUGAGUCGCAGGCCAAUGUAGCAAAAGUCCACAAAAACAUACAAAGAAUGGUCUACAUUGUGACUUUUCCAGUUUCGCAUUGGCCUUGUGUGAAUAUAAAACAAUGACCGGCACCGAAACUCACCGUCUAAGGGAGUUGAAAGCAGACCCAGUCUCCAUUAUCAAAGCCAAAUAAGCCUCCAAGUCCUCGCAUCUAUGCCCUCUCAUACCCUUUUUUUCCUAUAAAUAACACUGCCCUCAAACACAUUUUCAUCCAUCCCCUUUUCAGCAGAUACUUUUCUUGUAAUUAACUGCUUUCCAACCAUCAGCUCCUACACGUUUUAGAAAGAAAGAUGGCUAGGCUCAUGUCCAUGGCUGUUAUAGUUGUUGUUCUGGCAGCUAUGCUGCAUUAUUCAGCAGCCCAGACGGUGCAUGUGGUGGGAGACAACACUGGGUGGACGGUACCACAAGGUGGAGCAGCCACAUACACCUCCUGGGCUUCUGGUAGGCAGUUCGUUGUUGGUGAUACUCUAGGUAAUAAGCUCUAUGCCCUUUCCUUUCUUCUUUUUCAUUUUCAUGUACUUUUCCUAAGAACUUCAAAUAUACGCACUCUUAUUUAAAAUUUGUUUUGGCCAAAAUGAGAUUAAAUCAGUCUUUCAUAAGUACUGUUUGGAUUUUGGGAAAUGAAUUAACUACUUAUCUGUGUUUUUCAGUUUUCAAUUUCGCCACCAACGUUCAUGACGUAGCAGAACUAUCAAAAGAAUCAUUUGAUGCAUGCGACUUUUCCAGUACCAUCGGAAACAUUAUCACAACUGGUCCAGCCAACAUCACUCUCGCCACCGCGGGCAACCACUACUACGUCUGCACCAUUGGCAGCCACUGCACCUCCGGCCAGAAGCUAGCCAUCUCAGUAUCAGCCACUCCCGGCGCCUCCCCUCCUUCUUCAUCUACUGCACCCCCACCACCAACCACCACCAACACACCUCCAUCAACACCAUCUCCAACUGCUGAAGUUUGCCCUCCAACCACAGCACCGAGUCCUAAGAUGAACACUCCCUCUCCUACAACUGCAACUCCACCAUCCUCACAGGGCGGUGAUUCUUCAUCAUCAACUGUUUUUGCCAGUGUGUUUGUCUCCUUGGUGUCUCUUGUCAUGAGUUUCUUCCUUUAGGUAGAAGAGAAGAUUCACAUUGGACUGUCUUUCUGUGGGGUCUUAUUCAAUAAGUUUGAGAGUGAUUAUUGUGUAGUUCAGUUCUGUGCAACAACAUUCAUGUAUUGUUUUUGAGCAUAUGACCAAUAAAAUUUUGCUGGUUUGGUUUAAUUUCUUGCAAAAGGGGGGAAUUAAUUUCCUUGAACUGGUUCUAGCAAUCUUGGAGGUUCUCUUCAAUGACUUGGGACAAUCUGAAAAUUCAGUUCACAAACUACCCCUUAAAUAACAUUAAAAAAAAGUUUAAAUUUAUUAGUAAAUAUAGAAAAAUUAAUUAAUAAUAUUUUUAUUAAUUUUAUUGUUUUUCACUCUUCACAAUCACACUACAUCCGGUUCCAUCAGCCACAUACAAAAAUUGCCCUAGCUGCUGCCUCAAAUUGAGCUUGAAACCAGCCACAAGAGCAGCUCAAACAUUGAUGUGGGUUUCCAAAACAACAUUCCCAUGGGCUAAAAUAAUUUACAAUCUGCAUCUUAGGCUAUAAUUUAAACCUAAAUGCCCUACUUUGUAAAUAAGAUGUAAUGCAUAUUUUAUGGGAAAAAAUUAGGACACUGUUUGGUCAGUUUUCUUUUCUCCUGAACAAAAAAAUAGGAAGCAUAUUUGAUAAUUAAAAAACAAAAAGUAGUUUUUUUAAAAAAUAAAUAAAAAAGAUGUUAUUUCCAAAAAAAACAUCUUUUAGCUUUUUUUUAAUUAUUUUAAAUUAAUUUCUAAUUAUUAUUUUAAAAAAUAAUACACAAAUAUAAAAAAUAAUUAAAAAUAAAACACUGGAUAUGAAAGUUAUUUUUCAAAUAUAUUUAAAAAUAUUAAAAAUAUUUAAAGUUUCUAAAGAAAUUCUUGUUCUAUUAAAUAUUAUAAACAGUUUUUUAAAAAAUUUGUCGCUUUUAAAUAGAAAAGACUAUUUCUUUACGCAAAUCCUAUCAAUAAUUCAAGUUAAUAAACUUGAAAUUAGAGUUAGUUUUUCUUCAACCCUAGUAAUGCUCUUUGACUUACCUCCUUAAUUGACACCAACCCUCUUACAAUCCUCUAUCCAUAUAGUCCACAAAAUUAUUUCCAAUUCCUAAUGAAAUUAUAAUAAUACAUAAAUUAAUCACAAAAUACAAUAAUAAGACGGCAUUAUAAGAAAAUGUCUUAAAAUGCAUUUGAUAGUAUUUUUACUUAAAAUAUUUUUAAUAAAAAUAUUUUAUUUAAAAAUGUUUUUAAUAAAAAUAUUUUAUUUAAAAAUGUUUUUAGGAGAUUAGUGAUUUUUCCACAUCAUAAGUAUAUUUUCAUAUUUCUAAAAGUGGUUCCAAAUUCCAAGAUUCAAGAAUCACAGUUAAAACCUACUCUUAAUUCCCAUAUUUUAUACCCGUUCAAAAGAAGCCCGAUCUCUCAUCAACUGCCCAAGAAAUUGCAACGGCUUUCUAGAACAAGUGUACUGUACUUACCCCAUGGAAUCAAAAGAAGAGUUGGAAAAACAUGGAAUAGUCUGUUGCAAGCUUUCUACUUUGGGUUAUAGGGUUCCCAUUGGGAGCCAAGUCUAGCAUGAGCGUAGAAAAUACCAAACCUUACCGUCUACGUCCAUUUGCAGGGUCAAAACUCCAAUAUUUCCUCGUCAAGGCAGCGUCCAAGACCCUCCUCAAGGGAGCCUCACUCUUCACCUCCACGCCUCUCCAAAAGCCUCUUUUCAAGAUGCUAUAAAUACACUACCUCUUACUCCUUCCCAGCCAUCACCUUCUGAACAUCUCUAGGGAGAUCUAGAGACAGUACCACCUGUAAUAAUACCUUCUGGUUCAUCAGCUACUAAACAUUUUUAUAGACACAAAUGAUGGCCAGGUUCAUGUGCAUGGUGGGUGUUAUGAUUGUUGUUGCUGCGACAUUAACGGUGAAUUUCGCAGCUGCCCAGACUGUGCAUGUGGUGGGAGACAGCUUGGGUUGGACGGUGCCUCCAAAUGGGGCUGCUGCAUACACUAGCUGGGCUUCUAAUAAGCAAUUCAUGGUUGGUGAUAUUCUAGGUAACAAACUCUCUUCUCUUUGAUCUCUAUCUUAUUACUAUGAAUCGUUUGCUUGUGAUGAUAAUCAUGGUGUUUGACGUUGUUUUACAGUGUUCAAUUUCGCCACCAACGAGCAUGAUGUGGUAGAACUAUCAAAAGAAUCGUUUGAUGCGUGCAAUUAUUCGAAUCCAAUUGGAAGCAUCAUCACAACUGGUCCUGCAAACAUCACUCUCAACGCCACCGGCAACCACUACUACAUCUGCACUAUUGGCCGGCACUGCACCUCUGGUCAGAAGCUAGCCAUUACUGUCUCAGCCAAUCCCGGCUCGAAUCCCCCUUCUGCAUCUCCAGCAUCCCCACCGCCAACCACCAUUGCCACACCUUCUCCGACUGCUACUCCUGAUGAUCGCACUCCCACUCCAUCACCGAGUCUCAUGACCGACGCCCCUCAUGCUGCAACUCCAACUCAAACUCCGGCAGCCCCACCACCAACAGCCACUAUACCACCUCCAGGGGCACCUUCUCCGACUGCCACUCCUGAUGAUUGCGCUCCCACUCCAUCACCUAGUCUCAUGACCGACGCACCUCCUGAUGCAACUCCAACUCAAACUCCGGCAGCCCCAUCUCCAACAGCCACUAAACUACCCCCAAGGACACCUUCUCCGACUGCUACUCCUGAUGAUUGCGCUCCCACUCCGUCACCGAGUCUCAUGACCGACGCACCUCCUGCUGCAACCCCAACUCAAACUCCGGCAGCCCCACCACCAACAGCCACUAAACCACCUCCAGGGACACCUUCUCCCACUGGUAAUCCUGAUGAUUGUGCUCCCACACCAUCACCCAAUCCCAUGACUGGUUCACCAGCUCCUGCAACCCAUCUCUAGAUGCUUCCCUUUGCCUCCUUGGUGUCCG
rnacentral:lncRNA from 1 species